CCUCCCUUCCAUUUAUUUUCUCUUCUCAUAUGUGUUUCUUCUUUUACGUCUCAGAUCUCAAUCAUUUUUCUCACAUUCUUACUCUUAUGUAUCAUCUCUAUUCUCUUCUUCCAAUAUCCACUUUCAGAUUUUAAUCACACUCCAAUCCAUCUAGCCUCUCACUUCGAACCUACACCUAGGGAUCUGUAAACAACACAGCAAGAAUAUCUGCUCGAAUCCAUCUCCUACGCGGCUCUGCGGCUUCGAAAUCACCAUCUUGGUUUACUCAAGGGCUACGGUUUCAUCAGAAUCACUGUCUUCUUUGUUCGUCAACUCUGCACCUUCCGUUUUGUUGGAAGUCAGUCUCCUCAGCGGCUCCACCAGCAUCUCCAGAUCUCCUUCUCUGCUCAAGCUCCAGAAAAUGCCGCUUCAGCUUCAUUCCAACUCGUGUCUUCUCUGCCUCCGGCAGAGUCGUACGUGUCUGCUCAAGCUGUAGAAACGUCGCUCUCAGCUUCUUGCUUGUGAUGGCCAAAGAACCAGGAGCAAGACGACCCUUAACGGCGCAAUAGAGCAAACCUGUUUAGAAGUAGGGUUUUUUCAUUAGAUUUUUGGUUAUUAUUUUGAUUUAGUUGCCAAGGUUUAGGUUUUGUAAACCAGAUUUAUAAACUAGUUUAAUUUGUAAUCCAAAUUUUAGUUUGGUAAUCAAAUUUAAUCUGAAAUGAAAUUCAAUUAUAAAUCAAUAUUUGACUCUUUG
rnacentral:lncRNA from 1 species